rnacentral:rRNA from 1 species
AUGACCAUGUUGGUCUUGGUGACAGUCUCGCAGGCAACCUUGCUGUCGGCAUCCUGCGCCAAGCAGGCAUCCAAGACGGCGUCGGAGACCUGGUCACAGAGCUUGUCGGGAUGGCCCUCAUUCACAGACUCGGACGUGAAGAGGAACGUCUCGGCCGAGGAACCGAAGGAGGGAGGGAAGAGGCGGAAUGUAUGCACGGCGUUGUACCAAGAUCCCGGCUGCGCCUUAUAUAGCGGCGGAGGCCGGUGCGAGGUCGUGCGUGUGGCUGGUGGGAGCGUCGGACUGCACAACCUGUGCUGUGGUCGUUGGUGA